GAGUAAGAAGGUUUUCAUUGCUUUCCUAUCAUUUUCGUCAUGUCGGCUAUCGUAGAUUGUCGGCCAUCAAUACAUUGUCAUUCGCCUCCCCAUUGUAGGUAUGAUCCUCGCUGUCAAGCUGCGUGUCCAAGUAAACUAGCACCAGACGCAGGAGGACCAGGGAAGCACUGAUGAGCCGCACUCGUUGGUUUGGAGACCNAAAAAAUAUGCUAAUGCGUAUGUAAUGGUCUACUACUAUUGUAUAUUAAGAAUCGCCAGCGG
rnacentral:misc_RNA from 1 species